CUCAUGAUGAACGCUAGCUACAGGCUUAACACAUGCAAGUCGAGGGGCAGCAUUUUAGUUUGCUUGCAAACUGAAGAUGGCGACCGGCGCACGGGUGAGUAACACGUAUCCAACCUGCCGAUAACUCCGGGAUAGCCUUUCGAAAGAAAGAUUAAUACCGGAUAGCAUACGAAUAUCGCAUGAUAUUUUUAUUAAAGAAUUUCGGUUAUCGAUGGGGAUGCGUUCCAUUAGUUUGUUGGCGGGGUAACGGCCCACCAAGACUACGAUGGAUAGGGGUUCUGAGAGGAAGGUCCCCCACAUUGGAACUGAGACACGGUCCAAACUCCUACGGGAGGCAGCAGUGAGGAAUAUUGGUCAAUGGGCGCGAGCCUGAACCAGCCAAGUAGCGUGAAGGAUGAAGGCUCUAUGGGUCGUAAACUUCUUUUAUAUGGGAAUAAAGUUUUCCACGUGUGGAAUUUUGUAUGUACCAUAUGAAUAAGGAUCGGCUAACUCCGUGCCAGCAGCCGCGGUAAUACGGAGGAUCCGAGCGUUAUCCGGAUUUAUUGGGUUUAAAGGGAGCGUAGGUGGAUUGUUAAGUCAGUUGUGAAAGUUUGCGGCUCAACCGUAAAAUUGCAGUUGAAACUGGCAGUCUUGAGUACAGUAGAGGUGGGCGGAAUUCGUGGUGUAGCGGUGAAAUGCUUAGAUAUCACGAAGAACUCCGAUUGCGAAGGCAGCUCACUAGACUGUCACUGACACUGAUGCUCGAAAGUGUGGGUAUCAAACAGGAUUAGAUACCCUGGUAGUCCACACAGUAAACGAUGAAUACUCGCUGUUUGCGAUAUACAGUAAGCGGCCAAGCGAAAGCAUUAAGUAUUCCACCUGGGGAGUACGCCGGCAACGGUGAAACUCAAAGGAAUUGACGGGGGCCCGCACAAGCGGAGGAACAUGUGGUUUAAUUCGAUGAUACGCGAGGAACCUUACCCGGGCUUAAAUUGCAACAGAAUAUAUUGGAAACAGUAUAGCCGUAAGGCUGUUGUGAAGGUGCUGCAUGGUUGUCGUCAGCUCGUGCCGUGAGGUGUCGGCUUAAGUGCCAUAACGAGCGCAACCCUUAUCUUUAGUUACUAACAGGUCAUGCUGAGGACUCUAGAGAGACUGCCGUCGUAAGAUGUGAGGAAGGUGGGGAUGACGUCAAAUCAGCACGGCCCCUACGUCCGGGGCUACACACGUGUUACAAUGGGGGGUACAGAAGGCGGCUACCUGGUGACAGGAUGCUAAUCCCAAAAACCUCUCUCAGUUCGGAUCGAAGUCUGCAACCCGACUUCGUGAAGCUGGAUUCGCUAGUAAUCGCGCAUCAGCCAUGGCGCGGUGAAUACGUUCCCGGGCCUUGUACACACCGCCCGUCAAGCCAUGAAAGCCGGGGGUACCUGAAGUACGUAACCGCAAGGAGCGUCCUAGGGUA
rnacentral:rRNA from 1 species